rnacentral:pre_miRNA from 1 species
UUUUCUUGUAUAAAGAUCUUUAUAUAUACAUACAUACACACAUAUGUGUAUAUAUAUAUGUGUGUGUGUAUGUGUAUCAGUAA